UACGUAGGGUGCGAGCGUUGUCCGGACUUAUUGGGCGUAACGGGCUCGUAGGCGGUUUGUCGCGUCGGGAGUGAAAACCUUGGGCUUAACUCAGGGCUUGCUUUCGAUACGGGCAGACUAGAGGUAUGCAGGGGAGAACGGAAUUCCUGGUGUAGCGGUGAAAUGCGCAGAUAUCAGGAGGAACACCAACGGCGAAGGCAGCUCUCUGGGACGUUACUGACGCUGAGACGCGAAAGCGUGGGGAGCAAACAGG
rnacentral:rRNA from 1 species